AUGCUUCAUGCUAGUGCGACUUCCUUAUGUGAUGAUUUCUUGCCCAUUUAUGAUCAGUAUGAUGAUUCUCAUGUGGAUUCUAUUAGUUGUGAUGCCAUGUUACAUAGGAUUUAUUGUGACAAUUCUUUAGGUCACGUCAUGUUUGACAAUCCGCUUGACUUGUCAUAUGCUAUGCAUGAGAUCAAUCAUAUGUCAUAUUUGCAAUCUCAUCGUCGUGACUAUGCAUAUGCCAUUAAAAUUAACCCAAUUUCCACAUAUGGCACAGAUGACAAGCCCAUGGUUAUUGGCAUUUGUUUUUUGUGCGGUGAUAUUGAGAUGGUCCCUUUGCAUCAUUUACCUCAUAUGCCAUGCCAUGACCACCUAACUUUGGAUAUGCAUUAUUUUGGAUGCUGUCCAUUUUCUCCAUAUGAUGUUUCUGAUAUUUCUCAUGAGGAGACCCCCAUAGUUUCCUCAUACAUUUUUGGAGAUUUUGAUCCAUCCCAUCCAUUGCAUGAUCCCAAUAAUUAUGUGCACAAUAUUCUCCCCAUGAAUCGUAAUGAUAUUGAUGUGCCAUAUAAUUGCAUUCUCAAUUUUUGUCCCCAUCGUGUUAUCACAAUAACUAUUAUUUCAUGA
rnacentral:rRNA from 1 species